rnacentral:rRNA from 1 species
GACGAACGCUGGCGGCGUGCCUAACACAUGCAAGUCGAACGAGGUAAAUAAGUUGAAGUUUUCGGAUGGAUUCUUAUUUACCGAGUGGCGGACGGGUGAGUAACGCGUGGGUAACCUGCCUCAUACAGGGGGAUAACGGGUUAGAAAUGACUGCUAAUACCGCAUAAGCGCACAGUACCGCAUGGUACGGUGUGGAAAACUCCGGUAGGUAUGAGAUGGGCCCGCGUCUGAUUAGCUAGUUGGUGAGGUAACGGCCCACCAAGGCGACGAUCAGUAGCCGACCUGAGAGGGUGACCGGCCACAUUGGGACUGAGACACGGCCCAG